UCAAACUCCCAAGAUGGCGGUGGCGUCUGAGGAGCGGAUGGCUGAGGAAGGAGGCGGCGGCCACGGCGACGGCGGCUCCUGUUCGGCUGCCGGCUCCGCUCAGCGACAGCCCCCGGCGCCCCCGUCGCAGGCCCCGCCGUCGGGGUCCCAGGCACCCGCCGCGCCCGCGCUGGCACCGGACCACCUGCCCCAAAACAACACACUGGUGGCGCUGCCCAUCGUAGCCAUCGAGAACAUCCUCAGCUUUAUGUCCUACGACGAAAUUAGCCAGCUCCGCCUGGUUUGUAAGAGAAUGGACCUGGUCUGUCAGAGAAUGUUGAAUCAGGGGUUUCUGAAAGUGGAGAGGUUCCAUAACCUGUAUCAGAAGCAAGUUAAAGCACAGCUACCGAGGAGAGAGUCAGAAAGGAGAAACCAUUCUUUAGCUCGUCAUGCAGACAUCCUUGCCGCUGUGGAAACGAGGUUGUCACUGUUGAAUAUGACCUUCAUGAAGUAUGUGGACUCCAACCUCUGUUGCUUCAUCCCAGGAAAGGUGAUUGAUGAGAUUUACCGUGUACUGAGAUAUGUCAAUUCUACCAAAGCCCCUCAGAGAGCUCAUGAGGUGCUGCAGGAGCUACGGGACAUCUCCUCCAUGGCAAUGGAGUACUUUGAUGAGAAGAUUGUUCCCAUUUUGAAGAGGAAAUUGCCAGGAUCAGAUGUGUCGGGAAGACUCAUGGGCUCUCCUCCA